GGUUGGUUGGUUCAAGUUUGGAGGAUUACUGGAGAAACUUUAACAGACAAAUGCCAUUUUAAAAUGCAUUGUUCAGUGUUUUGCAGAGAUUAUUAAGAACACUUUCCUUUUCUUCCAUAGACAUUUGGCCUUUGCUAUUGGCAAAGACCAUUUACAAGUCCAUUUUUGUGUUCAUGCUCACUUGCAUGCACAGUAGCAAGAACAAAUAACUAUCCCUGAGCAAACUUCAGAAAGACAGAUCAAUAUAUAUGUAUGCUUGACUUUACUUUGAUAUUAUCUAAUCUAAUAUUAAAAAAACCCCAGCACAGCUACUAAAUAACAAAAAAACUUCCAUCAGAAUUGUUCUUAUACUUCUAUCUUGUUCUGGUACUCAUUUCUGGGCAUUUCCUGUUGUUUCUUCGCCAGGUCAUGAAGCAAGACCAAAUUCUGCUCUCUUCUGGUGAGGUCACUUUUUAUACAGACAAAUCCAGUACUACCAGCACAGGAAGAGUAGCUGAAAGCAGCAGGAGUUCUGAGUUGUCUGGUAACACAACUGAGAAUCACAAAAGGUAGUGAGAACUUUCUCUAAGCCACAGAGCACAACAGCAAAGCAGAACACUCCUUCACAGCUGGUCAAACUCUACUUCAAGCAGCCUGGAGGUCUCAAUGGGCAGCAUAAGGUUAGAAAACAGCCCUCAACAGUGUGUGUGCUUUGAAGUUAUCACUCACAAGAGUAACUUUCAGAGCUUCAUUUUGCUUCUGUGCAUUAACAUGUAUCUUCUCCAUUAAAUCACCAUAGGUCCAUCCUGUGGCAUAGCUCUCAGUCAAAAUGGAAAAAUAUUCUGAGAAAUAAAAUUUAAAUUCAA